rnacentral:rRNA from 1 species
UACAGAGGGGGCAAGCGUUGUUCGGAAUUACUGGGCGUAAAGGGCGCGUAGGCGGCAUGGCAAGUCAGGAGUGAAAGGCCUGGGCUCAACCGAGGAACUGCUUUUGAUACUGCCAAGCUAGAGUGCGGAAGGGGCAACUGGAAUUCCCAGUGUAGCGGUGAAAUGCGUAGAUAUUGGGAAGAACACCGGUGGCGAAGGCGGCGACCUGGUCCGAUACUGACGCUGAGGCGCGAAAGCGUGGGGAGCAAACAGG